UACGUAGGGUGCGAGCGUUGUCCGGAAGUACUGGGCGUAAAGGGCUCGUAGGUGGUUUGUCGCGUUGUCCGUGAAAACUCACAGCUUAACUGUGGGCGUGCGGGCGAUACGGGCAGACUGGAGUACUGCAGGGGAGACUGGAAUUCCUGUGUAGCGGUGGAAUGCGCAGAUAUCAGGAGGAACACCGGUGGCGAAGGCGGGUCUCUGGGCAGUAACUGACGCUGAGGAGCGAAAGCGUGGGGAGCGAACAGG
rnacentral:rRNA from 1 species